AUGAGGCAGCUGAAUGACCUUGCUGAGAUUCGGAGUAAACCAUGGUUUGCUAUCACUGAAUGUGCAACCUUUUUCUCAGGGCUUUUUGAUCUGUUCCAGCUUCAGCUGCUUACUUACGGCGGUUUACUUCUGGCUAAAAAUGUCCCUCACAACCAGAAAGUAGCAAGGAGACUCCGGAACUCUCCUCUGACUCAGCCUCCGCUUCAGCAGGGGCGCUGUUCGCUCUCUCCGCACCGCGCUCCUCGACGCGGAACUCACAGCGUGUUUACCUUCCCACUGGCUCUCUUUGUCCCGGAGGCUCCCGGCGGGGAGAAGCCGCAGAAUGUGCACCGUGCAGCUGCUGCGGGUGUCGGUCCACGAGCGGAUCAGCGCCGCCGCCGAAGACUUCCUGCUGCGGCUGGAGAAGGGAGAAGAAGCAGCCGAGCUCCCGGAGCUGAGAGCGCUGCUGACCGAGCGGCUGACGGCGGCCGCGGAGGAGAUCGUUGCUUUGUUGGAGGAGACCGUGGCGGAGUACCAGGAGAGAGUGGAGCGCUCAGAGCGGGAGAUCUUCCGCCAGAGGAGGCUACUCGAUGCCGUGCUCAAGCCCGAAGUCCGGCUGCAAGCGGCAGGAAAUGCCUCCAUUGUGCAAACAGCCAGUCAGAGGACGGCUGAGAUUAAAGCGACUGAGCAGUGUGCAGGAAUCGGAUCGCACAUGCUCAGACCAAAGCUGGUGAUUCUAGGGGCUCUGGGGUGAAAAUGGUCCAUAUGUUAAUGUAAAUUGCAUUGAUCUGCACCAAACAGAUGAGGAGGGCGGGAAGAGCACAGACAAUCCAGUUUAUUUCUUUCAAAAUAAAAGACCCUCUGUAGACUAAACACUUCUUGGCAUUUCGGCAUUAUCAUAUCUGUUGGAUUGGACAAACUGAGUAACACCUGGAAAUAAAGGUGCUUCGAUCUGCAUUACAUCUGAAAGCAUUCAUCCAGCCGAUGUCAGGAUUUAUCUUAAAUAAAAUCAGUUUAAAGGAAUUAAAAUGCCAGUGUUUAAAAGGAGUUGAAAACCUUGUAACUAAAUGUAACUAAAACAGAAUAUGAAGAACGAACCACUGGGGUCAGAGUUACUGUAGUUACUGUAAUACUGGUUCGCACCACUGGAUGGAGCAUUGAGUCAGUCUAACGUUCAUCUAACAAGCUCACUCAUUCAGUACGUUUUAAUUUUCGAAAGCGGCCUCUGAGGAAAUGGAUCAAAAAAUAUCUCAAAACACAGACAGACACACACACACACACAAUGACAAUGCUGUAAUUAGGGGUGGGUGAUAUAUUGAAUAUACUCAAUUUAUCACAAGUUUUUCCACGUAUGAUGGUUAAAAAUGACUGUAUCGUAAUGAUCGAGUAUAAAUUGCCAUGAAAAUAUUAGAGUGUCUGCAUGUAACUCACUGUAAGUUUUUUUUUUUUGUGGUUUGUUUGUUUUUUUGCCCACAUGCUGCAAAUGCAACAUUAAUCCCCACUCCCAACUGGAAAAUUUUUUACCUGACACACUGUGCUGAGCAUGCAUGUUUAUAUACUACCAGAUAGGAAAAAAUAUGGCGACAACGGGAGUUUCAGAUGAGCGAGGGAAUGAGAGUCGCUGUCACUUGGAUGUC
ensembl:lncRNA